rnacentral:rRNA from 1 species
GAUGAACGCUGGCGGCGUGCCUAAUACAUGCAAGUCGAACGGAGUGCUAGCAAUAGUACUUAGUGGCGAACGGGUGAGUAACGCGUUGGUGACCUACCCCGAAGCGGGUGAUAACAGCUCGAAAGGGCUGCUAAUACCCCAUGAGGUCUUACUGGUUAGAGGCGGUGAGACGAAAGGGAAAGCGUUCGAAAGAACGCCCCACUUUGGGAGGGGCCUGCGUCCCAUCAGCUAGUUGGUAGGGUAAAAGCCUACCAAGGCGAAGACGGGUAGGGGACCUGAGAGGGUCGACCCCCCACACUGGCACUGAAACACGGGCCAGACACCUACGGGAGGCAG